UGUGUUUUUCUCCUGGGGAAAAAAGAGUGUCAUCUACAAAGAAAUAUUUACAUAUCUGCAUCACUGGGAUAUCAUAGUUGAAGAAAAUUGCUAUUUUGUUGUUAUAUUCUGCUGUUUUCUUGACCAUGUCCAGAUAUUGAUGGAGCCUACUUUGGGACAACAUUUCCUCACCUGUUUCUGAUGACGUACGAUCACCUCAAGCCCCAGAAGCCCUCGCAGCGCUAUGUUCCUCGCGUAUUUGGCUUCAAGCUCCACAACCACAAGCCAUGAUGCGGAGGUGAAGGAAAAGAUAAGAGGCCCCGGAAGACUACUGUAAGAGUGCAAUCGCCAGAUCAUGCUGCCCACCCAUAUUGUGUGCCCUGUCUGGUCUAUUUAACAUUGAAAUAUUGGUAUAAAAGAAGACAUGAGACGAUGUUGUAACCUAAUUCCAGCUCUACUGGCUAGUAAAUCUGGACCUCUGUUUCCAAAACCAGCAGCUAUCGAGAAAUCAAAGUUAUGGUCGACAAUAUCAUGCCAGUUAUCGUUUAGAUAUUUCUUCCGCAAAUCUGAUUGCCAUGUUACGCCAACUUGGAAGAAAUGGAUUAUAGAAAAUUAAAUCAGCUAGGCAACUCUUUGUUUAUUUAAUUAAAA
rnacentral:lncRNA from 1 species